rnacentral:lncRNA from 1 species
UAAACUCCUGUCAAAUAUCAAGCCUUCCUUUGGGCCGACUUAAUAUUCACAUGGAAAACCAAAUAAUUGUCACAUAUUUAUCACCACAAGCAUAUUCGAAUUCCUUCCAAAUAACAACCUUCCUUUGGGCCGGUGUUAAACGCAUGGAAGACUAAUCUUAUAUUUCAUGAUCAAUCAAUCUACACAAUAGAGGUUACUUUGGCAACAUAAUGCUUCAAUUGACCUUCUUCCAUGGUGGAAGUGGCCGUAAGAGUUCAAGAUUAAUCAAUCUACAAAAAAGAGGUUACUUUUGCAAUAUAAUGCUUCAAUUAACUAAUUUAAAAUAUUAGAUGCUAAACCAUAUAGUUCCUUAAGCCAUAUAUUGAAUCUUAACUUAAUAUGUUAC